UACGUAGGUUGCAAGCGUUGUCCGGAAUUAUUGGGCGUAAAGAGCUCGUAGGCGGUUUGUCGCGUCUGCUGUGAAAACUCAGGGCUUAACCCUGAGCCUGCAGUGGGUACGGGCAGACUAGAGUGUGGUAGGGGAGAUCGGAAUUCCUGGUGUAGCGGUGGAAUGCGCAGAUAUCAGGAGGAACACCGGUGGCGAAGGCGGAUCUCUGGGCCAUAACUGACGCUGAGGAGCGAAAGCAUGGGGAGCGAACAGG
rnacentral:rRNA from 1 species